rnacentral:rRNA from 1 species
CUAAUACAUGCAAGUCGAGCGCUUGGUGAGUUCCUUCGGAAAUCCCCCGGGAGCGGCGGACGGGUGAGUAACACGUAGGCAACCUGCCUGUAAGACCGGGAUAACUACCGGAAACGGUAGCUAAGACCGGAUAAGUGAUCUUCUCGCAUGAGAGGAUCAAGAAACACGGGGCAACCUGUGGCUUACAGAUGGGCCUGCGGGGCAUUAGCUAGUUGGUGGGGUAACGGCUCACCAAGGCGACGAUGCGUAGCCGACCUGAGAGGGUGAUCGGCCACACUGGGACUGAGACACGGCCCAGACUCCUACGGGAGGCAGCAGUAGGGAAUCUUCCGCAAUGGACGCAAGUCUGACGGAGCAACGCCGCGUGAGUGAUGAAGGUUUUCGGAUCGUAAAGCUCUGUUGCCAGGGAAGAACGUCGCG